rnacentral:tRNA from 1 species
GCCUUCGUGGUGUAGUGGUCAGCACACUCGGCAGAUAUUCGAGAGGUUCGUGGUUCAAAUCCCGGCGAAGGCG